rnacentral:rRNA from 1 species
AUUGAACGCUGGCGGCAGGCCUAACACAUGCAAGUCGAGCGAGCGGCGGACGGGUGAGUAAUGUCUGGGAAACUGCCUGAUGGCGGGGGAUAACUACUGGAAACGGUAGCUAAUACCGCAUACCCUCAGAUUUGCCCCGAUGGGUUUAGCUAGUGGGUGGGGUAACGGCUCACCUAGGCGACGAUCCCUAGCUGGUCUGAGAGGAUGACCAGCCACACGGGAACGGAGAAACGGUCCAGACUCUACCGGGAGGAAGCAGGGGGGAAGAUUGCACAAGGGGCGCAAGCCUGAUGCAGCCAUGCCGCGUGUGUGAAGAAGGCCUUCGGGUUGUAAAGCACUUUCAGCGGGGAGGCGUUACCCGCAGAAGAAGCACCGGCUAACUCCGUGCCAGCAGCCGCGGUAAUAC